AUGUGCAGUAGGACUGCAUGGUGUGUGCAGAUGUAGUGAAGCUGUGUCCUGAUUUGAUCCUGGCUCUGAUUGCUGUGUAAGCCCAUGUUGAAGAGGAAAUUCAACCCCUGUUUGCGCCAGAGUAGUCAGCCGUCGACCUUCCCAGUGUCUCCUUAAUCAGGGCCCCUGGUUGAGCAAGACAAGGUGCCAGGCUGAUGCUUUGCCUCAACCAGCCCAUCCAUAUCAUCUGGCCUAAACUGGACUCAACCAUAGCUUUAUGUGAAAUGCAGCGGGAGGAGCUGCGGGGAGUACGUGUUGGAUCCACUUCUUUGCAUGCAGUGUGGUAGGCCCAAAUGUGGUGGUCACAGGAGUGCCUGGAACUCAAGCC